GGCAGAGGCAGGGCAGCUUCCCCGGCCCCUCCGCCGCGCAGGUGACCCAGCGCCAGGUGAGCCCCGCGGGGGCACCUGUGGAGCCCGGCCCGCCUCUGCCGCCGGCUCCUCGGGCGCCGGGACCGCGGGGGAUGCUCGGGGGAUGCUCGGGGGAUGCUCGGGGGACGGGUCCGGCCUCCCCCGGCCCUGGCUCUGGGGCCGAGGGGGUUCCUGGCCGUAUCCCGGAGGGAUCCCGGCAGGAUGCCGCCAUCAGCACCAGGGACAGCGCCCGGCGGCGCCUCCGGGGCAGGGCUGGACCGGGACAUGACCCGGGCAUCCCUGACCGGGCACCGGGCACCGGCACCCGCCCGGACCCUCCCCGGAGAUCAACGGCAGGUCCCCGAGGCGACGCUGGACUGUUCCCGGGCCAGGGAGAUGCCAUAGGUGGAGUCAACCCUGUCCCUGACAGAGGUCUCUGAAGAACAGGGGAUUCGGGGUGCCAAAAAAGCCCCGGGGCAGACAGAGCGCGAGCGGUGCCGGAGGGACACGAGCGGCACUCGGGAGCAGAGACAGGGCUGCAGGCAAGCUGUGCUGAAGCCAGGAGUGGACUGACAGAGCAAUCCCCAGGGCCCCAGCAGGAUGCAUUAACAGCGUGUCUCUCUGCUGAGCCGUGAUGGGAAGAGCACAAAGCAAAAAAGAAGAGAGAACACGAAGAGCAGAUCUCUCUAAGGAUCCAGGCUGACAGCAAUAUUGCCAUCUGACUGAAGAGAACUCAGACACACACAAUCCUCGGGAAAAUUCAUCUCCACCCUCCCGCAGACCCCGAAGUACAUCUGACAGGCUUGGUGAAGAUGGGAAGGAUGCUGUUCCCUGCCUGGGUUCAGUGGCUGAGAAUUGUUGCCUUUGUACAGCAAAUUGCUCAACUAUAGAGAAAAUCUCAUCUUCAUUGGCUCUCGUAGCAAGGAACCAUCUUCCCUCAGCUUCUGGAAAUCACACAAACCCCCUAAAAGCUGAAGAGAUGGAUAAAACCUGGGUACACAGCUGCCUGCAAACCUCAGAUUAAAUUGAGAAAAACCCAAGGAGCUGCUGCAGCCACAGACUGAGCACAAAGACCUCGGAGGAAAUUCUGCAGGUGUCUAAAUUACCCACUCACCCUUUCAGGAGUAACUCAGGGAUUCAAUAAAUCGGCCUGGCCUCUGUUCCUAAAUUAUUUCAAUGCUUUUUGGAACUCUUAGCACAGUUCUAAACUCCCCCACAUUUUGAGGGAACCGAUGGGGAAACAAUGGAUUAGGAAUUCUCAUGUAAGAAUGUUCCCAGUCACACAUCCCAGCCCUUUAUUGUUAUCCAUGUUGCAUUUUGUGGUGUCCCAGACUCCUCAGCACGGAUUGAAGCUCUUUGGCUUCAGUUGCCCUCGAAGAAGAGAAAACACAAGCUGUAAAUUCUGAGUUUGCAGCCUAAAUAAGCCAGACAGAGCAAGAACAGUUAUUAUUGCCAUGUUAUUGGCAGGGAAUUGAGACACAGGAAGAUUAAGUGACUGGCCCAAGGUCACCAAAGGAGCCUCUAGCAAAGGUGAGGGCUCAGCCUGGAUUUCAGAAGUCUCUGCCCAGUACUUCAGCCAUCCAUUCACUUGCUUUUUAAGUACCCUGUCAUUAUUUCCAUGAGGAAAAUUAUGCUACUCCUGGAGAAGCCAGCACCGUGUAAUUCAGCUUGUCUGAAAGGGAAUAUGAAAUGGCAGCUUCAAAAAAAAUUAACCCUCCUGCCACACAGUCUGGCAGCCCUGUCAAAACGGCUCAUUUUUUACCUGCUCUUCCUCCCCUGGGUAUUUAACUCCCCUCUCUAUUCCCAGAACUCUCGAUUGGGGCUCUGUGUGUGUCACCCCACAAACCCUUCGGGGUCCCUGGGGCCCUUGUGGGGGCCAUGGGUUGUACAGGAGGGAUGUGGUGGCUUUGAGACACUCUCAGAUGGGUGUUACUGAUUCUUUAUUCCCAGUUGUUGUGCCAGUGGAAGUGGGAGCUGCACCACUGCUGCUGAUCUGGUUCAGCAGACACCCUCCAGCUUUGGGACACAGGCUGGGAGAGCUGGGGGGGUUCACCUGGAGAAGGGAAGGCUCCAGGGAGACCUGAGAGCCCCU